rnacentral:rRNA from 1 species
AGUUAACGUUCAAUUUUUGAAGUUUCUCUAGCUUUUUUGUUGGGUGAAAUCAGUAUAAGAAGCUCUUUCUUCUUUAAAAAUUAGUAGGAACUAAAAAACUUUGAUUUAAAACCAGGAUUAGAUACCCUGUUAUUCUCAGUUAUUCUUAAACAGGGUAGUAAAAGUUGUUCUUCAAACCCAAAGAUUUUGGCGGCACUUUAUCCAAAUAGAGGAGCUUGUCCCUUAAUCGAUAGUCCUCGUUUUAUCUUUCCUUCAUUUGUAAAGCUUGUAUACCGCCGUUGUCAGAUUACUUUUAGAGAAUGUUUUCAAGUUAAAAGACUUUAUAACUUCAGGUCAAGGUGCAGUUUAUAUGGGGGUGGAGGUGAGCUACAGUUUUCUUUAGAAAAUAUGGAUUCUAAGCUUUGAAGCUAGCUGAAGGUGGAUUUACUAGUAAAGUAAUUUAAGUAAA